rnacentral:lncRNA from 1 species
ACUAGGUUGGCUUAACCUUACCAAGUACAACAUCUUGAUCAAUGUCAGAAAAGGAAGAGUAAUCUGCAAAAAUCCUAUUCUUUGAUCUAAAACAAUAACAAGCCCACCGCAAUGCUUUAUGGAAGACUCUGCAAGGUAGCAUGAGACAACAAAAGACAGUGGCUACUGGACAACAAACACAUAGCAAACAACAACUACAA